rnacentral:rRNA from 1 species
AUGCAGUCGAGCGGAACGAUCCUAGCUUGCUAGGAGGCGUCGAGCGGCGGACGGGUGAGUAACGCGUGAGAAUCUACCCAUGAGUGGGGGACAACCCGGGGAAACUCGGGCUAAUACCGCAUACGCCCUACGGGGUAAAGCAGGGGACCUUCGGGCCUUGCGCUGAUGGAUGAGCUCGCGUCGGAUUAGCUUGUUGGUGAGGUAAAGGCUCACCAAGGCGACGAUCCGUAGCUGGUCUGAGAGGAUGAUCAGCCACACCGGGACUGAGACACGGCCCGGACUCCUACGGGAGGCAGCAGUGGGGAAUCUUGGACAAUGGGGGCAACCCUGAUCCAGCCAUGCCGCGUGUGUGAAGAAGGCCUUCGGGUUGUAAAGCACUUUCAGCAGGGAGGAAGGCUUACCCCUAAUACGGGUGAGUACUUGACGUUACCUGCAGAAGAAGCACCGGCUAAUUUCGUGCCAGCAGCCGCGGUAAUACGAAAGGUGCAAGCGUUAAUCGGAAUUACUGGGCGUAAAGCGCGCGUAGGCGGUGUGUUAAGUCGGAUGUGAAAGCCCAGGGCUCAACCUUGGAAUUGCAUCCGAUACUGGCACGCUAGAGUGCAGUAGAGGGAGGUGGAAUUUCCGGUGUAGCGGUGAAAUGCGUAGAGAUCGGAAGGAACACCAGUGGCGAAGGCGGCCUCCUGGACUGACACUGACGCUGAGGUGCGAAAGCGUGGGGGAGCAAACAGGAUUAGAUACCCUGGUAGUCCACGCUGUAAACGAUGUCUAC